rnacentral:rRNA from 1 species
UACGAAGGGGGCUAGCGUUGUUCGGAAUUACUGGGCGUAAAGCGCGCGCAGGCGGCUAUCCAAGUCAGUGGUGAAAGCCCGGAGCUCAACUCCGGAACUGCCAUUGAAACUGUUUAGCUUGAGGAUGAGAGAGGUGAGUGGAAUUCCCAGUGUAGAGGUGAAAUGCGCAGAUAUCGGGAGGAACACCGGUGGCGAAGGCGGUUCUCUGGGCCUGUACUGACGCUGAGGAGCGAAAGCGUGGGGAGCGAACAGG